GAUGAACGCUAGCGGCAGGCUUAACACAUGCAAGUCGAGGGGUAGUUUACUUCGGUAAAUGAGACCGGCGCACGGGUGCGUAACGCGUAUGCAAUCUACCUUGUACAGGGGGAUAGCCCAGAGAAAUUUGGAUUAAUACCCCAUAGUAUUAUGAUGUGGCAUCACAUUAUUAUUAAAGUUCCAACGGUACAAGAUGAGCAUGCGUCCCAUUAGCUAGUUGGUGUGGUAACGGCAUACCAAGGCAACGAUGGGUAGGGGUCCUGAGAGGGAGAUCCCCCACACUGGUACUGAGACACGGACCAGACUCCUACGGGAGGCAGCAGUGAGGAAUAUUGCGCAAUGGGCGAAAGCCUGACGCAGCCACGCCGCGUGAGUGAUGAAGGCCUUCGGGUCGUAAAACUCUGUCGGGAGGGACGAAGGGGCAACCCUGACGGUACUUCGCAAGAAAGCACCGGCUAACUCUGUGCCAGCAGCCG
rnacentral:rRNA from 1 species